rnacentral:lncRNA from 1 species
UUGUAUUAUAUUGUAUUAUAUUAUAUUAUAUUGUAUUGUAUUGUAUUGUAUUGUAUUGUAUUGUAUUGUAUUGUAUUGUAUUGUAUUGUAUUGUAUUGUAUUGUAUUGUAUUGUAUUCUAUUCUAUUCUAUUGUAUUCUAUUCUAGUCUGCUCUGCUCUGCUCUGCUCUGCUCUGCUCUGGUUUCUUAUGUUUAGAUAAUUAUUUACACUAUUUCUGCUGGAAUUACUAAUGCUCUUUUGUUUUUGUCUUUCCUUUCCUUCACUGAGCCGGGGGUCGAUUGGAAACAGCC